rfam:Heligmosomoides polygyrus genome assembly, scaffold: HPBE_scaffold0000590
GCGCCGGUGGUGUAAUGGCGUAGAGCAUUCCCGCCCGGUCAGAGGGAGGUGCGGGUUCGAGUCCCGCCUGGCGCU